rnacentral:lncRNA from 1 species
GAAGUUGUAGCUCUCGGGUGAUUCCGGUGACUGCGUGGCAAGAAAAGUGAUUGACAAACUGGCCUUUGCUUGGCGUCACAUUUGGCUUUGAUUGUGUGAGUGACUGGUAGGCGGGUGUCAUCAGAAAUGUGGACCGUGCAUGGCGCGCGGGGUUAUUUCGAGAGAAAAUGAUUGAUGCAUUUCGGAAAGUGUCCCACGGAUGGAGAAAAGCAAACAGAGACUUGUGGGAACAAGCAUUUCCUUUUUACCGGUGCAAUCUGUGCACAGAGGAGAAAGGAGGCAAACCAUACUGGAUGCUGAUUAACUUCUCCGACGGUUAACAGGAUGCCAGUGGCCUGGUGGGUGCCCGGAAAGAGCUCCAGACAGCAAGGAAUCUGGAGAAACAUGUUUCAGAGUUUGCUUCUUACACAUACCCAGCUUUUUAGGAAAGAAGAUUCGUCUGCGGCCAUCUUGCCUACCUUCUGUGAACAGCCUUGGAGGAUAAGAGGCAAGGCAUCUCUCAUUGAUGUGAAUUUCAGUUAAACAGUGGAUAGUUAUUUUAGUUUGUGUCCUGACUGGGGCACAAUGUGAGCUGAUGCCUCCCGUGUCAUUCUCCAGACGAGGACUCUGUUUCCCAUCAGCAAAUCUGCUAACUAGUGUACCUGUCCCAGUUGCUGUGAAGGUCAGGUGAGAUGAUUAAUGUGGGUUGGCAAAUCGUCUUGCUCUGGUCAGGGCUUUUGGUGUGUGAGGCCUAAGAUGAGUACUGGU